GGAACUGCCUACGCAAGUAGUGAGGAAGGCGGGGAUGACGUCAAAUCAGCACGGCCCUUACGUCCAGGGCUACACACGUGCUACAAUGGCCGAUACAGAGGGCAGCUACCUGGUGACAGGAUGCAAAUCUCCAAAGUCGGUCUCAGUUCGGAUCGGAGUCUGCAACCCGACUCCGUGAAGUUGGAUUCGCUAGUAAUCGCGCAUCAGCCAUGGCGCGGUGAAUACGUUCCCGGGCCUU
rnacentral:rRNA from 1 species